GACGUAGGGCGCGAGCGUUGUCCGGGUUUAUUGGGCGUAAAGAGCUCGUAGGCGGCUUGUUGCGUCAGCUGUGAAAACCCGCAGCUCAACUGUGGGCUUGCAGCUGAUACGGGCAGGCUUGAGUUCGGUAGGGGAGACUGGAAUUCCUGGUGUAGCGGUGAAAUGCGCAGAUAUCAGGAGGAACACCGGUGGCGAAGGCGGGUCUCUGGGCCGAUACUGACGCUGAGGAGCGAAAGCGUGGGGAGCGAACAGG
rnacentral:rRNA from 1 species